rnacentral:lncRNA from 13 species
GAGCCCUAAUUUUUUAAAGUGUUCUCCUGUCAAGAGACUAUUUAAAGUACAGGUUUUAUAGAUACUUUCCUUUUAAAUAGAUUUCUCUUAGCUAAUCAGAUGCUGAGCGGCGUUGCCUUUAAUUUUAUCUGGCCAAGCUUCCCUCCAUCUGUUUUCCCAUAAUGCUCUCAUUCCCUCUUCCAGAUGUUUGGCACAGCAUCUCAACUUGAUGUCUAUUUCUUCUUGUUCUCCUUCACCUCACAUGAACCUUCCAAGUCAUAAUUCUUUGGAAAUAGACACAAGGAGCCUUAUUUCAAAUUACCAUCCUUUACUUAAGAGGUUCCAUCUCUAAGCAUAUCAGCAAUCAUGGUGACGCGCCACUCUGCUGGUAAUUCAUAUGGCUUAUUCAGAAGCACAGACCAUGGUUGUUAGACCUGCCAGAUGUUCCCGGUCCUUAGCUGCAAUUAAGUUCCAACAUAGCCCAAUUUGAAAGAGAUUGAGAAACCACAGUUUUCAUUAAGAAUAUUCAUGAGUUUGCACCUUGAAAAGCCAGCAGUUACAUGAUGUGCCAGAAUGGACAAGAUCCUUUGAGAAGAGAGAGAGAGGAAAAGAUGCAAUUUAAAAUAAGUUACCAGGUUUUGAAAGUUUCCACAUGGACCAUUUUUAAGCUGCAUCUCAUGGGAUUUUAGACCCUGAAGUGUCAUAUCUAAUUGUUAUCUUUUCAUGUUCAUGUCUUCAGUAAUCAUCUAGAAGUGAUAUUAUGGACUGGCACUCAGAGGCGGUGUGAACUGUGAAAAUCUACAUUCUAAAAUCUUCUCAAAUCUUUUUUGCUAUCCUUCCCAUUUGUAUCACAUCAUCUGGGGUAUAGAAAGUGUGAAACUUUUUAGUUUUAUAUACCUUGAAGAAUUGAAACCAACCGGAGAGUGACUAUAAUAAGGAACAUUAUGGAGUUGUAUGUUAUUAUGUUUACAUGUCUAUUUGUAAAGUUCUGCCCAGUUCAGAACUGAGAAGUAGAAACUUCUUUUAUUUAAUCUAGAAAAGGAGUGACAGUAAAUUUGUCAGUGUAUCGCUAUUUGUUUUCUGAACUUGGAUAAGUACAGAAGAAAUCAAAGCAAUGUCAAUUUUAAAAAAUAAGAGAACAUAUUCAAACAAUUGUAAUCGAAGAUUUCAAUUUUAUUUUCCAUUAAAAAGUAGAAUAUUCAUUUAAAUUUGCAUAUCAAUUUAAAAGGAGAGAACAGGCAGCCCUACAUAUAAUAUCUCAUUUACUCUUCACAAUAUCCCUAAAAAUAUAAAUAUUAUUGGCCACAAUAGAAGACUAGUUUUAGGGAGGCUACAUAAAUUGCUCAUAGUCAUGUAGAUUAUAAAUAGCUGAAAUGGAUUGGAAAUCAAACGUGACUGACUCACAGUUUUUGUCCUAAACACUCUGCUACAGGCUUCUCAAAACAUUGUCUUAUUUAUCUAUGUAACAAAACUGCACAAUCUGCACAUGUACCCC